GGCCACAGAGGUGCUGAGUCCCUCCUCCUUUCUUCUGGCUGUGGGGCAGGCCUGCUUCCCUCAGCUCCCUGCCGGCACAGGAAGAGCUUGAUGGCUGGUCCUGAGGCUCCUCCCAGGCUGACCUCUGGGUGGGGCGGCACUGUCCCUCCAGUCUGGUGCUGGCAAAGGUUGGGACCAGAGCUCCAAGCUGCUCAGAGUGGCAUUUUCAGGGGCUGUAGGACAGAGGGCCCUGGAGAGCUUGGGCCACUCUGAUGGGCAGUGGGGGAGAAAAGCAAGGUGACCCUGAGCCAGCUGACAUUCCUCUGCUCACCCCUGUUCCCUGACUGUGCCCAUACCCAGCCCCCUCCCACCUAGAGCCCAGCAUUCUCAUGUGACCCGGAUUUUCUCCAGUUUGGGAAAUGCUUCAGAAAGCAUUCACUUACUGGGGAUCACCUCUUCAGGGAUAUUCACACUCCUGAAAGCUCAGCCCAAAGACAUGCAUAUCUAAGGGUGGAAUUUCAGGACUGUGAUGGAAAGGGCUUGCUUUGAGGGGAGGGUGGGGCCUCUCUCAGUCUGCGGGAAGGUGGGGGAGAGGAGCUCAGAACACAACCUUUUAUGGCUAGUCAGGGACAGCGGAGGGGGCUGUAAGAAGGGCGGAAAGAAGGCAGCCCGGUGUCGGAGCGCGAGCUCGAGCUGUGGCCGCGGCAGGCCCCGCGCGGCUGCGUCUGCACAGCGCAGGGCUCUGGGAGCGCCGCCCUCCAGCCCAGGACACGUGGACUCCCCGCGGCGGCCCGCCCAGGCCCGCUCUGCUGUGCCCACAGCCUCCCGCCUGGAAGAACCGGCGGUCACACGGAGGGAACCCGGCCUCGGAUCCUCGGGCCGCCCCCGCUCAGGCCCCGCACCCAGGAGCGGGCCGCAGGCGCCGCAUCCCGGCAGGCAAAUCGUCCUGUUGUUCUGCUCUGCGCCCUCUCUCCAGAGGCUUUCCCCCACGAGCCAGCCUUCUGGAGCUGAGAGCCGGGAGAAAAAGCAGGAUGUGCUGGUGGACAGCUGA
rnacentral:lncRNA from 1 species